GUUGUUGAGGUGGGUUUGAGACAGCGUUGUUGAGGUGGGUUUGAGACAGUGUUGUUGAGGUGGGUUUGAGACAGUGAUGUUGAGGUGGGUUUGAGACAGCGUCGUUGAGGUGGGUUUGAGACAGUGACGUCGAGGUGGGUUUGAGACAGUGACGUCGAGGUGGGUUUGAGACAGUGUUGUUGAGGUGGGUUUGAGACAGUGUUGUUGAGGUGGGUUUGAGACAGUGACGUCGAGGUGGGUUUGAGACAGAGUUGUUGAGGUGGGUUUGAGACAGUGUUGUUGAGGUGGGUUUGAGACAGAGUUGUUGAGGUGGGUUUGAGUGGUUUUGUAUGAAGAUGAGCAUAAGAGUGAUGAAGAUAGUACAUGUGAUGGAUGUGCCUAAUCCACUUCAUAAACCUUUGAUAUGGAUAGGAUGCAACUUUGUUAUUCAGACAGCCUUACUGGAACUGCACAGAGCAAAGCAAUUACACUGUGCUGUUGAGGGAACAUCCCUAAUGGGCUUCCUCAGCCAUUAAGCCUUUUCUGCAUUUAACUACCAGUAUACAAAAGAUAAAAUCACUGCAUGGCAUUGUUUGUCAAUAGAAUGACAAGUUCACUAUUUAAACAGAAAAAGACUGGCACCCAGGCUACAUGUUUCAUUAUUUGCAAACACGUUUUACGUUCCACGCUGGAAAACAAACACGUUUUACAUUCCACGUUGGAAAACAAACACGUUUUACAUUCCACACUGGAAAACAAACACGUUUUACAUUCCACGUUGGAAAACAAACACGUUUUACAUUCCACACUGGAAAACAAACACGUUUUACA
rnacentral:lncRNA from 1 species